GCACAGCCUUACCCUAACAUUGUUUGCAUAGCUUUGUCUUUAUGAUUGUUUGAUGGUUAAAGCAAUACAAAUACUUCUUUAAAAGUGCUCCAGCCAAUGAUUUUCUUCUUUACUUCUUUAAAAGUGCAUGCAAUGACUUUAUAGGCACUGAAAAGAGUAAAUAAUUUAUUUUAGUUUUAAUCUGUUUUUUGUAGGCCGGGGUGGAGUUGUCUUUAAGUUUAACCCCUUAAGGACACAUGACAUGUGUGACAUGUCAUGAUUCCCUUUUUUCACCAGAAGUUUGGUCCUUAAGGGGUUAAACCAUGCAAUUAAAGCACUGCCAUUUACAAUAUAAAUCAAUGCUUAUAUUGCAGGGUUAAAUACGUCUCUAGUAUGCCACUAACGCUAAAGUGGUCCUUUAAAGCACUAUCUAUAUAAUGCAUUAAAAACAGCCUACUAUAUCUAUUUAAAUACCCAUCAAAUCUAAAAUCAAUCUUUAAACAGCAACUAAAUUAUCCUCUCCCUUCUACUUAUCAAACCUUGAUUGUAGAAGGUUAUUUCAUAUUUU